AAGAUGGUGAAGAACCAAGAGUUGCAGCCCUUAGAGAAUUAAGAGAAGAAAUUGGAAUAACGUCAGCUGAAAUUAUUGCAGAAGCAAAGUUAAAGGAGACUCGGUAUCACAGUAUAGAGGUGUUACAAGAUCCUGGUAGGAAUCUAACUCUCUUUAGAGAGAGAGAGAGAGAGAGAGAGAGAGAGAGAGAGAGAGAGAGAUGAAGGGCAUGAAUGAUAAUGAUAAUGAUAACAAUAACUGGUUGGGUUUCUCACUCUCUCCUUACAUGAACAUGGAUGCAUCUACAGACCCACAUCAGCAUCAUCAUCAUUACCACCAUCGUCAGCAACAUCAUCAUCAUUAUUAUCAAACACAAGCUGCAGCUGCUGUUUCUCCUACAGUUCCAACCAGCUUCUUUCUAACUCCUCCUCAGAUGGAAACACAAGGUUGGGCCCUUUACUCCUAGUUGUCUGUAAUGCCACUGAAAUCUGAUGGCUCCCUUUGUAUUAUGGAAGCUCUUACAAGAUCACAGCAAGGUGAAGGAGUGAUGCCAGAGUUGAAGAGCCUAGAGUUAUCAAAGAGCAGCCUUCAUAGGUAAAGCACACAAAUCUAAUUGCCCUAUGGUUAGAUAUAUGUCCAUAUGUGCUUUUGACACGUUUAGUUUCCUUCAACACGUUUAUAAGUAAAGCCGCGAGGUGAUAGCUUCAUGAGAUGGUCCAUCUUCGACUGUAUGAUCGCCGGUUCGAUCCCGGUUUUCUUCUGGAGGUGUAUGGCCUACCUGUAGUACAAGUGGCAUUUACCGAAAGACCCGGAAUCGUACUCGGUUUUCAUUGAUAGAAGGGCUGUGAACAACAAAACCUCAAUUCAAGCCCUUUUGGAAAGGCUGGGAGAGGAAAGAGUGAAGAGGAUGAAAGAUAAGACAGUCUAUAUACCGAAGUUUGUGUAUACCACCCCCAAAGAGGGGUUGGCCGGUAUGAAGGAUGCGUUUGAUGUUUCCCUGGAAGGGGUACUGAGAAGAUUCCAGGAGUAGAGAAGGACAUGAAUGGAAUUAAAAAAUUGGGAAUGGGAGAUCUUGUAUGUUGUAUUUUGUACUUCUCUUGGGUGGGGUAUAUUGAUGGAGGGACAGGAUGUUCAAGUAGAUUGGUGGAUGGUUAGAUGGAUGUGGUUGGUGGAUUUUAUAUUGAUUGGUUAGCUGCAGAGAGUUAUUAGUUGCUA